GUUCAUGGCUCAGGAUGAACGCUAGCUACAGGCUUAACACAUGCAAGUCGAGGGGCAGCAUGGUCUUAGCUUGCUAAGGCCGAUGGCGACCGGCGCACGGGUGAGUAACACGUAUCCAACCUGCCGUCUACUCUUGGACAGCCUUCUGAAAGGAAGAUUAAUACAAGAUGGCAUCAUGAGUCCGCAUGUUCACAUGAUUAAAGGUAUUCCGGUAGACGAUGGGGAUGCG
rnacentral:rRNA from 1 species